CCCACUGCAAAAUCUGUUUAAGGUUUAGGAGGGUCCUAUGUUCAAAAGUUUGCUGGUGUGUAUCUUUGUUGGCUCGACAUGUUUUUAAUUUAUGAUUGUUGUUGGUGGAGAGAGCGGAAGAUGCCGGGGACAGUUUGGAGAAGAUCAAGCGGCAGCUGGCCUCUGGGUCUGGUCGGAAUUUGUUGCAGGGUCCCCUUCUAAAGCGAUCUGAAACAUUGAGGAAAUGGAAUGAGCGAUGGGUAGUUUUGGACCCAACAACAGGGAAAAUGGAGUAACCAUACGUCCCAUUUACACUGUUUUUGGUCCUUCCUUGCUUGGUUCAAUGUAGUAAUAUGUUGGUGGAAACAGCUCAUUUCUAAUGCUGCUGCCGAUGGUGAUGGGGUCAAUGGACCUCUGCCAAGAGUGUUCAUAUCACAAAUUGUUGUGGAUUAGUUGAGUAAAUAAACUCAGAUGACAUGAAUAGCGCCAAACAACUACAAAGAGAACUGCCAUACUCCUAUAAUUGCUGCUAACCUACCUAACUAAGAAUAUACGACAAUCUCGAAAAUGUGCCAAUGAGAGACAUCAUCAGAUCCAGAGAUCAAGUUUGCCAAGAACUACUCAUAGUAGAAUUUGCAAAUAUGUGGUGCAAACUGAGCCAAGAAUAGACAACUCCAACCUUUUUGGAAUAGACGUGGUUAUCAACCUUUUGACUCUCUUCUUCUUUUCUUUCCUGACUUGGAUUCACUGCCCUGAUCAUUGGAUGAAUUUAGUGACUUUCCCUUUGAGUUCUCCAUUGUUUUCCCAGAAGUUGAUGAAUGCUUCACAUCUCCACUUUCUUUUUCUUUUGCUUUUGAAGAUGUGAACUUAACCUUGGUGGAGAGAUUGGUAUUAUUAGACUUAUCGCCUGUUUUGGUAGACUUGCCUUUUGAAACGGGAGUUUUUGGGGUUUCUUGUUUGGACUUCCCCGUCUUCGAUACAUCUUGCUUGUUGGACUUUGCAACAGCGGCAGGUGUGGAUGUCUCAUCGUCCUUAGAUUUGCUAGUCUUGUUGGAUUCGGCAUCAUCAUUCUUCGACUUGCCAGCGAUUUUUGGACCUGUGCUACCACGUUUACUUCCAAUUUCAAGAGUGCCUUGAUCCUUUGAUUUACUUCCAAUUUUUGGAGGCUGGUUUCAGCACAGGUGUGGUUUCCUUUUUAUCAUCAUCACCUGACAAUCUUUUCACGUUUUUUCCAGAAAUAGAUUUAGCUGAUCCCUUCU